GUGAGGAAUCAACUUUGUUGGUGAGGUGGCCUUCUACUGGGGUGUCUUGUCGGUGAAGCAUCUUCUUGGUGAGGUGGUAGUCAACUUUGUCGGUGAGGUGGCCUGAUACUGAAGUAAUUUGUCGAUGAAGUAUCUCCUUGGUGAGGUGGCUUGCUAAGAAAUAAUUUGUAAAUUGGCUUGGAUGUCUUGCUUGGUGGAGAAAUAACUUUUGUUGGUGCAGAAUCAAUUUUUGGUGGUG
rnacentral:lncRNA from 1 species